CGUAAAACCUGGUAAUUAUUCUGUUUGCCUGUUUCUUUGCUACACUUUUUAACUCUUUUGGGCUUACAAUUUUUCAUAUUCCAAAUUUGUUGACUUUGUUCGUUUCAAUGGGACGAAAAAUGGGCCUUGGCACUCAGAAAGGCCCUUGGUGGUUGUUUUUUGUCGAGUGCUUGUGUCAACUUCUGUGUGCCUAUUCAAAAACAUGAAAUUAUCGUGACAAAUAUCAGGGUCUUUUUGUGCUUAAGCACACACGCAACGCCAACUUUUAUUUAAAAGUGAUCCGGAUUAUUUAACAAUGACAGCAAAGGAAUGUGUCCCUAAAAACUACCAUUGCUUAUAUUUUUACUUAUGAUCGCAAAUUGUCUGCCAAUAUAACAGGCAGACAGACAAAAACAAAAACUAUGUAUACAUGAGUCUUAUUUAUUAUUACAGCAUAGAAAGUUCCGUCACGCAUAAGUCAGCUUCUGCUCGCCUGGCAGGCGUAUGUCACAGGGCGUGAAAAAUUCUCACGCUCACAAUUAUGUGUUUGGAUUGUGUAAAGACAGGCGAGCUCGACAGCAACUCGAAGCCCUCCACGAUCGCACGACCCGACCAAUACAACAACAAAUCGAGGAUCUUUCUAAGUAAUUCAGCGUGAGAUUCUAGCUCUUCAAUGUUGUCUGCUCGCCUGUUCAGAAUUUAAGGUUAUUCUCUGAAAGUUCCCACGCAACGUCAAGAUACAUUGUACGAUGCUGGCAACAAACCUAUUUUAUGUUAAAAAAGAUCCCUAUCUGCAGGAGGUGCCCUUAGAAAAUGAGUUUUUUUUUCCUGUAAUUUUUUUAUAGCAUUGUUCGCGUCUCAAGCGUCUCAUGCUUACUUCCGUUUUCUUUGGCAUGCUUAGUUGGAAGGGGUGUAGUUUUUCUGCACGCCUGCUGAAUUGUCAAGAUUGAAAUUCUUCAAAAAAAUCACCAAAAACAGUGACCUGA